UGCCAGCCGCCGCGGUAAUAUGAAGGGACCUUGCGUAGUUCGGAAUUACUGGGCUUAAAGAGUUCGUGGGUGGUUGUAAAAGUUGGUGGUGAAAUCCCAGAGCUUAACUCUGGAACUGCCAUCAAAACUUUUCAGCUAGAGUUUGAUAGAGGAAAGCAGAAUUUCUAGUGUAGAGGUGAAAUUCGUAGAUAUUAGAAAGAAUACCAAUUGCGAAGGCAGCUUUCUGGAUCAUUACUGACACUGAGGAACGAAGGCAUGGGUAGCGAAGAGGGUUAGAUA
rnacentral:rRNA from 1 species